GCCUGGGUGGCUUGGUUGGUUAAGUGUCCGAUUUUGGCUCAGGUCAUGAUCUCACAGUCCGUGAGUUCGAGCCCCACCUUGGGCU
rnacentral:tRNA from 1 species